UACGAAGGGGGCUAGCGUUGCUCGGAAUCACUGGGCGUAAAGCGCACGUAGGCGGCUUUUUAAGUCAGGGGUGAAAUCCUGGAGCUCAACUCCAGAACUGCCUUUGAUACUGAGAAGCUCGAGUCCGGGAGAGGUGAGUGGAACUGCGAGUGUAGAGGUGAAAUUCGUAGAUAUUCGCAAGAACACCAGUGGCGAAGGCGGCUCACUGGCCCGGUACUGACGCUGAGGUGCGAAAGCGUGGGGAGCAAACAGG
rnacentral:rRNA from 1 species